UUCCUGGUGGUCCAGUGGGUAAGGCCCCAUGCUCCCAAUGCAGGGGGCCCAGGUUCAAGCCCUGGUCAGGAAA
rfam:TPA: Bos taurus chromosome 25, whole genome shotgun sequence.